CCCCUUUCAUUGGGUAGCCGGCAUGCACUAUUUUGGCUUAUGGCAUGCGGUGGGACGACCCAUAUGAGAUGAGCCCUGAGACCCUGAGAUCAAAACAAAAAGCUUAUUUUCUCUCUGACCAAAUAAGACAUCCCAUAAGACGUCCUAUUGCCAGUGAGGGAUCCUAUGGGAUGUCCCAUUCUGGGUAAACCUCGUAACGACUAGUUUUUAGUCUAUUUUGAAUAUAUUUAAUGUGCAUUAAAUACUCUCCAAUGGCUCUUAACCGACACUAAGACACUCUCAAGUCUAAAUGAAGGUUAUAAAUACUCUUUUGAGGUGAGAAAUCAAUGAAGUGUUAUGCAUUCAAGCUCACACUCAUGAAAGUAAAGAAAAUCCCUAAAAGAGAGAAAAGAAGCAUUCAAUCAGGUCACCAACCACUCUCUAGUUGCAUUCAAGUGUGCCAAUCAUUUGAGGGUGUUCAGUAAAAAUUUCUUCUCCUUAAGCAUUGUAUUUUUAUUGCAUUUAUUGUGCUCAUUUAAAGGGCUGUUGUGCUAAAAUUUUUGUACACUAUAUUUUUGCUAUUAUAUUUUGGGUUUUGAGUUUUGAGGGUUCCAAAACUCGGAUAGGUUGAUCUAAACCUGAAAUUGAAGUGUUGUGGACUGGCUUGUACCUAAAAAAUAAGUAUUCUUGUUUGGAUAUUAAGGAUCGGUGUUAUCUGACAAGUUAUAUCUUAUAAUCUUUUUAGUGGAUUGAAUUCUCAAGUAGAGACUAAGGAAGUGGAUGUAGGUGCAAGGUUGGCAUCGAACCACUAUAAAUCUCUUGUGUUUGUUGUGCUUGCAUCUCUUCGUUUAUUCUUUAUGCAUUAUACUUGCUUACUUAUUAUUUGAGGUUGAUUUUAUUCUCUUAGCUAAUCUAUUCACUCCACUCAACAAGUAUAGCACAUUACCUGAGUUCACUAAUCACACAAAUUUUAAAAAGACCCAAUUCAACUCUCCUCUUGGGCUUCAUAUCUGGACAACAAGUAGUAUUAGAGUUCGAUACUCUAGUCCUUGCUUGAUUUAACCAUCAAGUGUCAAAGAUCAAUGGCAGCCCAAUUUGGUAUAUCUUUAGUCGAGGGACAAUCCACAAACCGACCUCCACUUUUCAAUGGGCUACACCUAUUGAAAAGCUUAGAUAAGAAUUUUCAUUCAAACACUUGACUAUGAUUUGUAGAGUAUCAUAGUAAAUCGACCCUACACACCCACUAAAUUGAGGUGAAUGGGAUGAAUUUGAUAAGAAAAUGACUCAGCUUAAUGUUAAAGCCAUGAAUGUUUUAUAUUGUGCCUUAGAUGUAAAUAAAUUUAACCAUAUUUCUACUCAUAAUUCAGCUAAAAAAAAUUGAGAUAGGUUAAAAGUCACACAUGAAGGCACAAACCAAGUAAAAGAGUCUAAAAUUAAUAUGCUUGUGCACAACUAUAAAUUAUUUAAAAUAAAAUCUGAAGAGUCAAUAACUCAAAUGUUUACUCAUUUCACUGACAUCAUAAAUGGUCUAAAAAGUUUUGGUAAGUGUUAUUCUAACAGUGAUUUUGUGAGAAAAGUACUCAAGUCUCUAC
rnacentral:lncRNA from 1 species